rnacentral:rRNA from 1 species
CCUACGGGUGGCAGCAGUGGGGAAUAUUGCACAAUGGGGGAAACCCUGAUGCAGCGACGCCGCGUGAGUGAAGAAGUAUUUCGGUAUGUAAAGCUCUAUCAGCAGGGAAGAAAAUGACGGUACCUGAUUAAGAAGCCCCGGCUAACUACGUGCCAGCAGCCGCGGUAAUACGUAGGGGGCAAGCGUUAUCCGGAUUGACUGGGUGUAAGGGGAGCGUAGACGGCAGCACAAGUCAGGAGUGAAAGGCCGGGGCUUAACCCCGGAACUGCUUUGGAAACUGGGCAGCUAGAGUGCAGGAGAGGUAAGUGGAAUUCCUAGUGUAGCGGUGAAAUGCGUAGAUAUUAGGAGGAACACCAGUGGCGAAGGCGGCCUGCUGGACUGUAACUGACGUUGAGGCUCGAAAGCGUGGGGAGCAAACAGGAUUAGAUACCCGUGUAGUC